GUCCGCCCAACGAGCCAUAAAUCUUUCUAUUGACUUCACCAAGUCAUGAAGAGGACUUAAAACAAGUUGGACUAGGAGCACCUAAAUCAGUCAUACUGAAUUUUUAGUUAGCAUAAGUCAAGCCCAAUCACUAAGUGAUCUAAACAAAACAUGAUUAAGAAUAUUGGCCAGGGUAAGUGAAAUCAAUGGGAGGGAUAUACCAUUAACUUGUCAUAGACUCAAUCUAUAUG
rnacentral:lncRNA from 1 species